rnacentral:lncRNA from 1 species
GGAAAUUAGGAAAUCAUGGUUAGGGUUUGGAGGAGGGGAAUUAGGAAAUAUGGUUAGGUUUUGAAGGAGGGGAAUUAGGUUUUAGGAGGAGGGAAAUUAGGAAAUCAUGGUUAGGGUUUGGAGGAGGGGAAUUAGGAAAUAUGGUUAGGUUUUGAAGGAGGGGAAUUAGGUUUUAGGAGGAGGGAAAUUAGGAAAUCAUGGUUAGGGUUUGGAGGAGGGGAAUUAGGAAAUAUGGUUAGGUUUUGAAGGAGGGGAAUUAGGUUUUAGGAGGAGGGAAAUUAGGAAAUCAUGGUUAGGGUUUGGAGGAGGGGAAUUAGGAAAUAUGGUUAGGUUUUGAAGGAGGGAAAAGUGGCUAUAAUUUUUUAGGUUAAAUAUUAGGUGGAAUUAGGGCAACAAUGUUAGGUUUAUAAAUAAAAAGAAAUAUGGUUAGGUUUUGAAGGAGGGGAAUUAGGUUUUAGGAGGAGGGAAAUUAGGAAAUCAUGGUUAGGGUUUG